rnacentral:misc_RNA from 1 species
GGUUACUUGGCCAUUUGCACCCCUUUUUAUUUCUCUUUAAUUCCAACAAUUCUUCACCUAAAAAGAAAUAAAUAAAAAAUAAAAACACACACAAAAUUGUCUUUUAAUUUACCUCCUCCUUAAAUGAAACUUUCAUAUGUUAUACUUUAAUGAAAUUCAUACAAGGUUUAUACAUCAUCAUCCAAUACCAUAGUACAUUCUCUAGUGUAUUCCUCUACAUUUUUCUUAUUCUUUGGA